GAUGAACGCUGGCGGCGUGCCUAAUACAUGCAAGUCGAGCGAACAGACGAGGAGCUUGCUCCUCUGACGUUAGCGGCGGAAGGGUGAGUAACACGUGGAUAACCUACCUAUAAGACUGGGAUAACUUCGGGAAACCGGAGCUAAUACCGGAUAAUAUAUUGAACCGCAUGGUUCAAUAGUGAAAGACGGUUUUGCUGUCACUUAUAGAUGGAUCCGCGCCGCAUUAGCUAGUUGGUAAGGUAACGGCUUACCAAGGCAACGAUGCGUAGCCGACCUGAGAGGGUGAUCGGCCACACUGGCACUGAGACACGGUCCAGACUCCUACGGGAGGGAGCAGUAGGGAAUCUUCCGAAAUGGGCGAAAGCUUGACGGAGCAACGCCGCGUGAGUGAUGAAGAUCUUCGGAUCGUAAAACUCUGUUAGUAGGGAAGAACAAAUGUGUAAGUAACUAUGCACGUCUUGACGGUACCUAAUCAGAAAGCCACGGCUAACUACGUG
rnacentral:rRNA from 1 species